ACUAGUGUGGCCACACCUGAGUGCAAAUGCCCGAUAGCGUCCGAUCUCGGAAGCAAAGCAGGGCCGUGUCCGGUUGGUACUUGGAGGGGAGACCAACUUGGAAGACCAGGGGCCGCUAGCC
rnacentral:rRNA from 12 species